rnacentral:rRNA from 1 species
GAUGAACGCUAGCGGCAGGCCUAAUACAUGCAAGUCGAGCGGCAAGUCGAGGAGUAAUCUAAGACCUAGAGCGGCGCACGGGUGCGUAACGCGUAUGCAACCUACCUUAUACUGGGGUAUAGCCCGGAGAAAUUCGGAUUAAUCCCCCAUGGUAUUAUAGAUUGGCAUCGGUUUAUAAUUAAAGUAACAACGGUAUAAGAUGGGCAUGCGUCCUAUUAGCUAGAUGGUGAGGUAACGGCUCACCAUGGCUACGAUAGGUAGGGGGCCGUGAGAGGGUAGUCCCCCACACUGGUACUGAGACACGGACCAGACUCCUACGGGAGGCAGCAGUGAGGAAUAUUGGUCAAUGGGCGCAAGCCUGAACCAGCCAUGCCGCGUGAAGGAAGAAGGUUCUAUGGGAUUGUAAACUUCUUUUAUUUAGGAAUAAACCUCCCGACGUGUCGGGAGCUGAAGGUACUAAAUGAAUAAGCACCGGCUAACUCCGUG